rnacentral:misc_RNA from 1 species
UCCCCGUUGUCCGGGGCAGUUUCUCUAGAGUGCCCAGCUUGACCUGAUGGCAACUAAAGAUAAGGGUUGCGCUCGUUGCGGGACUUAACCCAACAUCUCACGACACGAGCUGACGACAGCCAUGCAGCACCUGUGUCCCUGUCCCUUGCGGGAAACCGAACUUUCAUCCGGCGAUCAGGGCAUGUCAAGCCUAGGUAAGGUUCUUCGCGUUGCGUCGAAUUAAACCACAUGCUCCACCGCUUGUGCGGGCCCCCGUCAAUUCCUUUGAGUUUCAACCUUGCGGUCGUAGUUCCCAGGCGGAGUACUUAAUGCGUUAGCUGCGGCACAGAAGGGGUCAAUACCUCCUACACCUAGUACUCAUCGUUUAAGGCUAGGACUA